rnacentral:rRNA from 1 species
AACGAACGCUGGCGGCAGGCUUAACACAUGCAAGUCGAGCGACACCUUCGGGUCUAGCGGCGGACGGGUGAGUAACGCGUGGGAACGUGCCCUUCUCUACGGAAUAGCCCCGGGAAACUGGGAGUAAUACCGUAUACGCCCUUUGGAGGAAAGAUUUAUCGGAGAAGGAUCGGCCCGCGUUGGAUUAGGUAGUUGGUGGGGUAAUGGCCCACCAAGCCGACGAUCCAUAGCUGGGUUGAGAGGAUGAUCAGCCACACUGGGACUGAGACACGGCCCAGACUCCUACGGGAGGCAGCAGUGGGGAAUCUUAGACAAUGGGGGCAACCCUGAUCUAGCCAUGCCGCGUGAGUGAUGAAGGCCUUAGGGUUGUAAAGCUCUUUCAGCUGGGAAGAUAAUGACGGUACCAGCAGAAGAAGCCCCGGCUAACUCCGU